GUCCCUGUGGCGCAAUGGUCAUAGCGCUGGGUGGACCUCUUAAUCACCCAAAUUGAGAGGUGCUAGGUUCGAUUCCUAGAAGGGCA